UACAGAGGGGGCGAGCGUUGUUCGGAAUUACUGGGCGUAAAGGGCGCGUAGGCGGCCUCUUAAGUCGAACGUGAAAUCCCCGGGCUCAACCCGGGAACUGCGUCCGAUACUGGGAGGCUUGAAUCCGGGAGAGGGAUGUGGAAUUCCAGGUGUAGCGGUGAAAUGCGUAGAUAUCUGGAGGAACACCGGUGGCGAAGGCGGCAUCCUGGACCGGUAUUGACGCUGAGGCGCGAAAAGCCAGGGGGAGCAAACGGGG
rnacentral:rRNA from 1 species